CCCCCCCCCCCCCCCCCCCCCCCCCCCCCCCCCCCCCCCCCCCCCCCCCCCCCCCGGUUGGUUAUUUCCAGUUUGGGGUACUUCCCGUUUGUCUAUUUUCGGGUAGGCUCAUUUUCUGCUAUGGUUAUUUCCCGGAUCGGUUUCCGGAUAUGGUUACAUCCUGGUUUCCUUUUUUGAAGGGGAGGGUUACUUCCGGGUUGUCUAUUUCCGGGUAGGGUUAAUUUCGGGUUCUCUGUUUCCGGGAAGUGUUAUUUCCAGGUUUUGUAAUUCCGGGUAGGGUUAUUUCCGGGUAGGGCUAUAUAGGGGUAUGGUUACUUCCGGGUUGUCUAUUUCCGGGUACGGUUACUUCCGGGAGGGGUUAUUUCCGGAUGGUGUUACUUCCGGUUUUCUAUUUCUGUGUAAGGUUAGGGUUAGUGUUAGUGUUAGUGUUAGGGUUAGGGUUAGGGUUAGGGUUAGGGUUAGAGAUAGGGGUAGGGUUAGGGUUAGGGUUAGGGUUAGGGUUAGGGUUAACGUUAGGGUUAGGGUUAGGGCUAGGGUUAGGGUUAAAGUUAAGGUUAGGGUAGGGUUAGCCAUAGGGUUACGGUUAGGGUUAGGGUUAGGCUUAGGGUUAGGGUUAGGGUUAGGGUUAGGGUUAGGGUUAGGGUUAGGGUUAGGGUUAGGGUUAGGGUUAGGGUUAGGGUUAGGGUUAGGGUUAGGGUUAGGGUUAGGGUUAGAGUUAGGGUUAGGGUUAGGGUUAGGGUUAGGGUUAGGGUGAGGGUUAGGGUUAGGGUUAGGGUUAGGGUUAGGGUUGGACUUAGGGCUAGGGUUAGUGUUAGGGUUAGGGUUAGGGUUUGGGUUAGGGUUAGGGUUAGGGUUAGGGUUAGGGUUAGGGUUAGGGUUAGGGUUAGGGUUAGGGUUAGGAUGUGGGUAGCCUUACUUCUGGGCAGGUCCAUUCCCGGGUUUUGUACUUCGAAAAAGGGAUACUUCCGGGAAGGGUUACUUCCUGAUACUGGUACUUCCGGGUUUUGUUACUUCUGGGUUUUGUAUUUCUGGGUGGGUUUCUUUACCAGUAUGGUUAUUUACAGGUUAUCCAUUUCUGGUUGGUUUAUUUCCGGGUAGCUUUAUUUCUGGGUUUUCUAUUGUCGGGUAGGGUUAUUUCGGGUUUGGGAUACUUCCCGUUUGUCUAUUUCCGGGUAGGCUCAUUUUCUGCUAUGGUUAUUUCCCGGUUCCAUUUCCGGGUAUGGUUACAUCGUGGUUGCCUUUUUUAAAAGGAGGGUUACUUCCGGGUUGUCUGUUUCCGGGUAGGUUAAUUUCGGGUUGCCUGUUUCCGGGAAGGGUUAUUAUCAGGUUAUCUAUUUCCGGGUAGGUUUAUUUCCGGGUAGGGCUAUAUACGGAUAUGGUUACUUCCGGGUUGUUUAUUUCCGGGUACGGUUACUUCCGAGAGGGGUUAU
rnacentral:lncRNA from 12 species